rnacentral:rRNA from 1 species
CCCUUCGGGGAGAAAGUAGAGUGGCGCACGGGUGAGUAACACGUGGGUAAUUUACCUUCGGGUGGGGAAUAACAGUCGGAAACGACUGCUAAUACCGCAUGAUGCAGCGGCACCACAUGGUGACAGUUGUUAAAGCGGGGGAUCGCAAGACCUCGCGCCUGAAGAGAAGCCCGCGGCAGAUUAGCUAGUUGGUAAGGUAAUGGCUUACCAAGGCAACGAUCUGUAGCCGGCCUGAGAGGGCGGUCGGCCACACUGACACUGAAUAACGGGUCAGACUCCUACGGGAGGCAGCAGUCGGGAAUUUUGGGCAAUGGGCGAAAGCCUGACCCAGCAACGCCGCGUGAAGGAUGAAGUAUUUCGGUAUGUAAACUUCACAAGAAUGGGAAGAAUAAGUGGGGGAUAACACCCCCCAUGAUGACGGUACCAUUUGUAAGCUCCGGCUAACUCCGUGCCAGCAGCCGCGGUAAUACGGGGGGAGCAAGCGUUGUUCGGAUUUACUGGGCGUAAAGGGCGCGUAGGCGGCSCAACAAGUCACUUGUGAAAUCUCCGGGCUUAACCCCGGAGCGGUCAAGUGAUACUGUCGUGCUAGAGUGCAGA